UACAGAGGUCCCAAGCGUUGUUCGGAUUCACUGGGCGUAAAGGGUGCGUAGGUGGUCAGGUAAGUCGGAUGUGAAAUCUCCGAGCUCAACUCGGAAACUGCAUUGGAAACUACCUGGCUCGAGGGUUGGAGGGGGGACUGGAAUGCUUGGUGUAGCAGUGAAAUGCGUAGAUAUCGUAAGGAAGACCAGUGGCGAAGGCGGGUCUCUGGACAGUUCCUGACGCUGGAGGUGCGAAAGCGUGGGGAGCAAACAGG
rnacentral:rRNA from 1 species